CCUGCCUUGGAGUGGGGAAUAACAGCUGGAAACAGCUGCUAAUACCGCAUGAAGCAGUUGAGUCGCAUGGCUCUGACUGCCAAAGAUUUAUCGCUCUGAGAUGGACUCGCGUCUGAUUAGCUAGUUGGCGGGGCAAUGGCCCACCAAGGCGACGAUCAGUAGCCGGACUGAGAGGUUGGCCGGCCACAUUGGGACUGAGACACGGCCCAGACUCCUACGGAAGGCAGCAG
rnacentral:rRNA from 1 species